rnacentral:lncRNA from 1 species
CAGCUUUUAAAUUUUUGGAGAUUGCUAAUUGGUAUGCAAACGUAUCUUUUUAUUUGCUGACAUCUCAGUCAAAUCAGGAUCUUGAAUCAAAGAAGCAAAAGCCUAUAAGUCUUCCCUAUUAUCUUCCCUGUAAAUAAUAGAUUUCCUGCUUUAAUUUACCUGGGGGCAUAAACACAACAAGGAAAGGCAAAGACCUGCCCUUCCUUGGUCUGUUCUACCUAAUAAAGUGGCGUUUACCUGGGACCUCCAAGAGUUAGCCUCUAUUGUGUCUUCCAAAGGAAAGAGAAUAGAUUGUCCUCUGGGCUGAUAUAAACGGGAAGACAGCAGCUGUAUGUGACCUUGUGUUCUGAUAUGGUUCUGGCAUUGGGACAGAAUCUUUUUGGUAGCCUGUCUUUGUCACUUUCUAGCAAGUACAGAGACUAAGCACCUGGGCCUAAGACUCAAGCAAUCCACAAGAUUCCAGACCUCCUUGAGGGUAGGAAAAGGGGUCCCAAUAUUCUCAGCAUUUGAUUAUCACUCUUAGAUGGGCUUCAGAGUUCAGUUAAUGAGCAGACACCACGCCAGGAAGAGAUACAUGAGCCUAGAUCUCAGAGGGUAUGUACUCUGAAGCUGAAAUCAUAAACCAGAACAUCUGACGUGUGUCUCAUACACAAUGAGGGAGGGAGGAUUGCUGAUGGAAAUGUCACACGCAGCUGCUUUUAGCACUUGGCUCUCGCGGAUCGAGCUUCCCCUUCUGCCACUACACCCCACCCUCUUCCUGGAAGAAAGCCGUUUAGGGUUCUUUAGUUCUCAUCCUGCAUGCUGUGAAAACAGCUGUAAAUUUCUAUCUGUCACAUGGGUAUAGUUCAUGGCUGGUAGAUGUACCUGAUGGGCUAUAGAAAUGACUGGCUCAGCUCCUGUUGGGCUCAGGAAAGAGAGUCUACCUGAGAGAAUCAGUUGUGUGCCCCACCCUGAAAGGUUUUGAUGCCUGUGCUUUCUUCAUCUUACCAAAAGCUGUCAAUGGAAGAUUUCAGGCAACAGGACGAUCUCAAGAAUCUGCCCGGGCCAGGAAGAUUAGCCCUGAGCUAACUGCUGCCAAUCCUCCUCCUUUUGCUGAAGAAGACUGGCCCUGAGCUAACAUCCAUGCCCGUCUUCCUCUACUUUAUACGUGGGAUGCCUACCACAGCGUGGCUUGCCAAGCUGUGCCAUGUCUGCACCCGGGAUCCGAACUGGCGAACCCCGGGCCGCCGAAGCCGAAUGUGCAAACUUAACCCCUGUGCCACGGGGCUGGCUCCCAAUAAUCACUUCUUGAGUGCUACAUAUUAAGUGCUGGCAGAGGGUAC